GGCACGUGUCGUUGGCUAAGCCCUCGCGGCGGACGAGCCGCGCGGGCCGCCUUGAAUUACAAUUUCCACCGGGCGGCGGACUGAAUCCUUUGCAGACGACUUAAAUACGCGACGGGGUAUUGUAAGUGGCAGAGUGGCCUUGCUGCCACGAUCCACUGAGAUUCAGCCCUUCGUCGCUCCGAUUCGU
rfam:Ricinus communis cultivar Hale ctg_1100012336586, whole genome shotgun sequence.